GGUUAAGUUAGAAAGGGCGCACGGUGAAUGCCUUGGCACUAGGAGCCGAUGAAGGACGGGACUAACACCGAUAUGCUUCGGGGAGCUGUAAGUGAGCUUUGAUCCGGAGAUUUCCGAAUGGGGAAACCCACUGUUCGUAAUGGAACAGUAUCUUUAUCUGAAUACAUAGGAUAUUGAAGGCAGACCCGGGGAACUGAAACAUCUAAGUACCCGGAGGAAGAGAAAGCAAAUGCGAUUUCCUGAGUAGCGGCGAGCGAAACGGAAUUAGCCCAAACCAAGAGGCUUGCCUCUUGGGGUUGUAGGACACUCUAUACGGAGUUACAAAGGAACGAAGUAAAUGAAGCGACCUGGAAAGGUCCGUCGAAGAAGGUAACAACCCUGUAGUUGAAACUUCGUUCCCUCUUGAGUGGAUCCUGAGUACGGCGGAACACGUGAAAUUCCGUCGGAAGCUGGGAGGACCAUCUCCCAAGGCUAAAUACUACCUAGUGACCGAUAGUGAACCAGUACCGUGAGGGAAAGGUGAAAAGCACCCCGGAAGGGGAGUGAAAGAGAUCCUGAAACCGUGUGCCUACAAGUAGUCAGAGCCCGUUAACGGGUGAUGGCGUGCCUUUUGUAGAAUGAACCGGCGAGUUACGAUCCCAUGCAAGGUUAAGCUGAUAAGGCGGAGCCGUAGCGAAAGCGAGUCUGAAUAGGGCGUUUAGUAUGUGGUUGUAGACCCGAAACCAGGUGAUCUACCCAUGUCCAGGGUGAAGUUCAGGUAACACUGAAUGGAGGCCCGAACCCACGCACGUUGAAAAGUGCGGGGAUGAGGUGUGGGUAGCGGAGAAAUUCCAAUCGAACCUGGAGAUAGCUGGUUCUCUCCGAAAUAGCUUUAGGGCUAGCCUCAUGUUGUGAGAGUCUUGGAGGUAGAGCACUGAUUGGACUAGGGGCCCCCAACGGGUUACCGAAUUCAGUCAAACUCCGAAUGCCAAAGACUUAUCCAUGGGAGUCAGACUGCGAGUGAUAAGAUCCGUAGUCAAAAGGGAAACAGCCCAGACCACCAGCUAAGGUCCCCAAGUAUACGUUAAGUGGAAAAGGAUGUGGAGUUGCUUAGACAACCAGGAUGUUGGCUUAGAAGCAGCCACCAUUUAAAGAGUGCGUAAUAGCUCACUGGUCGAGUGACUCUGCGCCGAAAAUGUACCGGGGCUAAACGUAUCACCGAAGCUGUGGAUUGACAUCUUUGAUGUCAGUGGUAGGAGAGCGUUCUAAGUGCAGCGAAGUCAGACCGUAAGGACUGGUGGAGCGCUUAGAAGUGAGAAUGCCGGUAUGAGUAGCGAAAGACAAGUGAGAAUCUUGUCCACCGAAUGCCUAAGGUUUCCUGAGGAAGGCUCGUCCGCUCAGGGUUAGUCGGGACCUAAGCCGAGGCUGAAAAGCGUAGGCGAUGGCCAACAGGUUGAUAUUCCUGUACCACCUCCCCGCCGUUUGAGUAAUGGGGGGACGCAGUAGGAUAGGGUAAGCGCGCUGCUGGAUAUGCGCGUUCAAGCAGUUAGGCUGAUGAGUAGGCAAAUCCGCUCAUCAUAAAGGCUGAGCUGUGAUGACGAGGGAAUUAUAGUACCGAAGUUCCUGAUUCCACACUGCCAAGAAAAGCCUCUAGCGAGGCGGGAGGUGCCCGUACCGCAAACCGACACAGGUAGGCGAGGAGAGAAUCCUAAGGUGAUCGAGAGAACUCUCGUUAAGGAACUCGGCAAAAUGACCCCGUAACUUCGGGAGAAGGGGUGCUCUGGUAGGGUGUAUAGCCCGAGAGAGCCGCAGUGAAUAGGCCCAGGCGACUGUUUAGCAAAAACACAGGUCUCUGCGAAGCCGCAAGGCGAAGUAUAGGGGCUGACGCCUGCCCGGUGCUGGAAGGUUAAGAGGAGGGGUUAUCCUUUGGGAGAAGCUCUGAAUCGAAGCCCCAGUAAACGGCGGCCGUAACUAUAACGGUCCUAAGGUAGCGAAAUUCCUUGUCGGGUAAGUUCCGACCCGCACGAAAGGCGUAACGAUCUGGGCACUGUCUCAACGAGAGACUCGGUGAAAUUAUAGUACCUGUGAAGAUGCAGGUUACCCGCGACAGGACGGAAAGACCCCGUGGAGCUUUACUGUAGCCUGAUAUUGAAUUUUGGUACAGCUUGUACAGGAUAGGUAGGAGCCUGAGAAGCCGGAGCGCUAGCUUCGGUGGAGGCGUCGGUGGGAUACUACCCUGGCUGUAUUGAAAUUCUAACCCGCGGCCCUGAUCGGGCCGGGAGACAGUGUCAGGUGGGCAGUUUGACUGGGGCGGUCGCCUCCUAAAAUGUAACGGAGGCGCCCAAAGGUUCCCUCAGAAUGGUUGGAAAUCAUUCGUAGAGUGUAAAGGCACAAGGGAGCUUGACUGCGAGACCUACAAGUCGAGCAGGGACGAAAGUCGGGCUUAGUGAUCCGGUGGUUCCGCAUGGAAGGGCCAUCGCUCAACGGAUAAAAGCUACCCCGGGGAUAACAGGCUUAUCUCCCCCAAGAGUCCACAUCGACGGGGAGGUUUGGCACCUCGAUGUCGGCUCAUCGCAUCCUGGGGCUGUAGUCGGUCCCAAGGGUUGGGCUGUUCGCCCAUUAAAGCGGUACGCGAGCUGGGUUCAGAACGUCGUGAGACAGUUCGGUCCCUAUCCGUCGUGGGCGUAGGAAAUUUGAGAGGAGCUGUCCUUAGUACGAGAGGACCGGGAUGGACACACCGCUGGUGUACCAGUUGUCUUGCCAAAGGCAUCGCUGGGUAGCUAUGUGUGGACGGGAUAAGUGCUGAAAGCAUCUAAGCAUGAAGCCCCCCUCAAGAUGAGAUUUCCCAUAGCGCAAGCUAUUAAGAUCCCUGAAAGAUGAUCAGGUUGAUAGGUCAGAGGUGGAAGCGUGGCGACAUGUGUAGCUGACUGAUACUAAUCGAUCGAGGACUUAACCAA
rnacentral:rRNA from 1 species